GAUGAACGCUGGCGGCGUGCCUAAUACAUGCAAGUCGAGCGAACAGACGAGGAGCUUGCUCCUCUGACGUUAGCGGCGGACGGGUGAGUAACACGUGGAUAACCUACCUAUAAGACUGGGAUAACUUCGGGAAACCGGAGCUAAUACCGGAUAACAUGUUGAACCGCAUGGUUCAACAGUGAAAGACGGUCUUGCUGUCACUUAUAGAUGGAUCCGCGCCGCAUUAGCUAGUUGGUAAGGUAACGGCUUACCAAGGCAACGAUGCGUAGCCGACCUGAGAGGGAGAUCGGCCACACUGGAACUGAGACACGUUCCAGACUCCUACGGGAGGCAGCAGUAGGGAAUCUUCCGCAAUGGGCGAAAGCCUGACGGAGCAACGCCGCGUGAGUGAAGAAGGUCUUCGGUUCGUAAAACUCUGUUAUUAGGGAAGAACAAAUGUGUAAGUAACUAUGCACGUCUUGACGGUACCUAAUCAGAAAGCCACGGCUAACUACGUG
rnacentral:rRNA from 1 species